rnacentral:rRNA from 1 species
AGCGUACACGGUGGAUGCCCUGGCAGUCAGAGGCGAUGAAGGACGUGCUAAUCUGCGAUAAGCGUCGGUAAGGUGAUAUGAACCGUUAUAACCGGCGAUUUCCGAAUGGGGAAACCCAGUGUGUUUCGACACACUAUCAUUAACUGAAUCCAUAGGUUAAUGAGGCGAACCGGGGGAACUGAAACAUCUAAGUACCCCGAGGAAAAGAAAUCAACCGAGAUUCCCCCAGUAGCGGCGAGCGAACGGGGAGCAGCCCAGAGUCUGAAUCAGUGUGUGUGUUAGUGGAAGUGUCUGGAAAGGCGCGCGAUACAGGGUGACAGCCCCGUACACAAAAAUGCACAUGCUGUGAGCUCGAUGAGUAGGGCGGGACACGUGGUAUCCUGUCUGAAUAUGGGGGGACCAUCCUCCAAGGCUAAAUACUCCUGACUGACCGAUAGUGAACCAGUACCGUGAGGGAAAGGCGAAAAGAACCCCGGCGAGGGGAGUGAAAAAGAACCUGAAACCGUGUACGUACAAGCAGUGGGAGCCCUGAUUUAUCAGGGUGACUGCGUACCUUUUGUAUAAUGGGUCAGCGACUUAUAUUCUGUAGCAAGGUUAACCGAAUAGGGGAGCCGGAGGGAAACCGAGUCUUAACUGGGCGUUAAGUUGCAGGGUAUAGACCCGAAACCCGGUGAUCUAGCCAUGGGCAGGUUGAAGGUUGGGUAACACUAACUGGAGGACCGAACCGACUAAUGUUGAAAAAUUAGCGGAUGACUUGUGGCUGGGGGUGAAAGGCCAAUCAAACCGGGAGAUAGCUGGUUCUCCCCGAAAGCUAUUUAGGUAGCGCCUCGUGAAUUCAUCUCCGGGGGUAGAGCACUGUUUCGGCAAGGGGGUCAUCCCGACUUACCAACCCGAUGCAAACUGCGAAUACCGGAGAAUGUUAUCACGGGAGACACACGGCGGGUGCUAACGUCCGUCGUGAAGAGGGAAACAACCCAGACCGCCAGCUAAGGUCCCAAAGUCAUGGUUAAGUGGGAAACGAUGUGGGAAGGCCCAGACAGCCAGGAUGUUGGCUUAGAAGCAGCCAUCAUUUAAAGAAAGCGUAAUAGCUCACUGGUCGAGUCGGCCUGCGCGGAAGAUGUAACGGGGCUAAACCAUGCACCGAAGCUGCGGCAGCGACACUGUGUGUUGUUGGGUAGGGGAGCGUUCUGUAAGCCUGUGAAGGUGUGCUGUGAGGCAUGCUGGAGGUAUCAGAAGUGCGAAUGCUGACAUAAGUAACGAUAAAGCGGGUGAAAAGCCCGCUCGCCGGAAGACCAAGGGUUCCUGUCCAACGUUAAUCGGGGCAGGGUGAGUCGACCCCUAAGGCGAGGCCGAAAGGCGUAGUCGAUGGGAAACAGGUUAAUAUUCCUGUACUUGGUGUUACUGCGAAGGGGGGACGGAGAAGGCUAUGUUGGCCGGGCGACGGUUGUCCCGGUUUAAGCGUGUAGGCUGGUUUUCCAGGCAAAUCCGGAGAAUCAAGGCUGAGGCGUGAUGACGAGGCACUACGGUGCUGAAGCAACAAAUGCCCUGCUUCCAGGAAAAGCCUCUAAGCAUCAGGUAACAUCAAAUCGUACCCCAAACCGACACAGGUGGUCAGGUAGAGAAUACCAAGGCGCUUGAGAGAACUCGGGUGAAGGAACUAGGCAAAAUGGUGCCGUAACUUCGGGAGAAGGCACGCUGAUAUGUAGGUGAAGCGACUUGCUCGUGGAGCUGAAAUCAGUCGAAGAUACCAGCUGGCUGCAACUGUUUAUUAAAAACACAGCACUGUGCAAACACGAAAGUGGACGUAUACGGUGUGACGCCUGCCCGGUGCCGGAAGGUUAAUUGAUGGGGUCAGCGCAAGCGAAGCUCUUGAUCGAAGCCCCGGUAAACGGCGGCCGUAACUAUAACGGUCCUAAGGUAGCGAAAUUCCUUGUCGGGUAAGUUCCGACCUGCACGAAUGGCGUAAUGAUGGCCAGGCUGUCUCCACCCGAGACUCAGUGAAAUUGAACUCGCUGUGAAGAUGCAGUGUACCCGCGGCAAGACGGAAAGACCCCGUGAACCUUUACUAUAGCUUGACACUGAACACUGGUCCUUGAUGUGUAGGAUAGGUGGGAGGCUUUGAAGUGUGGACGCCAGUCUGCAUGGAGCCGUCCUUGAAAUACCACCCUUUAAUGGCUGGUGUUCUAACGUUGGCCCCUUACCGGGGUUGCGGACAGUGUCUGGUGGGUAGUUUGACUGGGGCGGUCUCCUCCUAAAGAGUAACGGAGGAGCACGAAGGUUGGCUAAUCCUGGUCGGACAUCAGGAGGUUAGUGCAAUGGCAUAAGCCAGCUUGACUGCGAGCGUGACGGCGCGAGCAGGUGCGAAAGCAGGUCAUAGUGAUCCGGUGGUUCUGAAUGGAAGGGCCAUCGCUCAACGGAUAAAAGGUACUCCGGGGAUAACAGGCUGAUACCGCCCAAGAGUUCAUAUCGACGGCGGUGUUUGGCACCUCGAUGUCGGCUCAUCACAUCCUGGGGCUGAAGUAGGUCCCAAGGGUAUGGCUGUUCGCCAUUUAAAGUGGUACGCGAGCUGGGUUUAGAACGUCGUGAGACAGUUCGGUCCCUAUCUGCCGUGGGCGCUGGAGAACUGAGGGGGGCUGCUCCUAGUACGAGAGGACCGGAGUGGACGCAUCACUGGUGUUCGGGUUGUCAUGCCAAUGGCACUGCCCGGUAGCUAAAUGCGGAAGAGAUAAGUGCUGAAAGCAUCUAAGCACGAAACUUGCCCCGAGAUGAGUUCU